AUGCAGUCGAACGAUGAUUAUCUAGCUUGCUAGAUAUGAUUAGUGGCGGACGGGUGAGUAACAUUUAGGAAUCUGCCUAGUAGUGGGGGAUAGCUCGGGGAAACUCGAAUUAAUACCGCAUACGACCUACGGGUGAAAGGGGGCGCAAGCUCUUGCUAUUAGAUGAGCCUAAAUCAGAUUAGCUAGUUGGUGGGGUAAAGGCCCACCAAGGCGACGAUCCGUAACUGGUCUGAGAGGAUGAUCAGUCACACCGGAACUGAGACACGGUCCGGACUCCUACGGGAGGCAGCAGUGGGGAAUAUUGGACAAUGGGGGCAACCCUGAUCCAGCCAUGCCGCGUGUGUGAAGAAGGCCUUUUGGGUGUAAAGCACUUUAAGCAGGGAGGAGAGGCUAAUGGUUUAAUACCCAUUAGAUUAGACGUUACCUGCAGAAUAAGCACCGGCUAACUCUGUGCCAGCAGCCGCGGUAAUACAGAGGGUGCGAGCGUUAAUCGGAAUUACUGGGCGUAAAGCGAGUGUAGGUGGCUCAUUAAGUCACAUGUGAAAUCCCCGGGCUUAACCUGGGAACUGCAUGUGAUACUAGUGGUGCUAGAAUAUGUGAGAGGGAAGUAGAAUUCCAGGUGUAGCGGUGAAAUGCGUAGAGAUCUGGAGGAAUACCGAUGGCGAAGGCAGCUUCCUGGCAUAAUAUUGACACUGAGAUUCGAAAGCGUGGGUAGCAAACAGGAUUAGAUACCCUGGUAGUCCACGCCGUAAACGAUGUCUACUAGCCGUUGGGGUCCUUGAGACUUUAGUGGCGCAGUUAACGCGAUAAGUAGACCGCCUGGGGAGUACGGCCGCAAGGUUAAAACUCAAAUGAAUUGACGGGGGCCCGCACAAGCGGUGGAGCAUGUGGUUUAAUUCGAUGCAACGCGAAGAACCUUACCUGGUCUUGACAUAGUGAGAAUCCUGCAGAGAUGCGGGAGUGCCUUCGGGAAUUCACAUACAGGUGCUGCAUGGCUGUCGUCAGCUCGUGUCGUGAGAUGUUGGGUUAAGUCCCGCAACGAGCGCAACCCUUUUCCUUAUUUGCCAGCGGGUUAAGCCGGGAACUUUAAGGAUACUGCCAGUGACAAACUGGAGGAAGGCGGGGACGACGUCAAGUCAUCAUGGCCCUUACGACCAGGGCUACACACGUGCUACAAUGGUAGGUACAGAGGGUUGCUACACAGCGAUGUGAUGCUAAUCUCAAAAAGCCUAUCGUAGUCCGGAUUGGAGUCUGCAACUCGACUCCAUGAAGUCGGAAUCGCUAGUAAUCGCAGAUCAGAA
rnacentral:rRNA from 1 species